UUUGAAGAUGUAUUGUAAGAUAUGUUGGAGCUUCUACAAGAGAAUAUGCUAGCAUGAGUAGCGAUAAUGCAGGUGAGAAACCUGCACACCGAAAACCUAAGGUUUCCUGAGUAAAGAUAAUCUUCUCAGGGUUAGUCGACCCCUAAGGUGAGUCCGGGUUAACCGGGGUAGCUGAUGGGAAUCAGGUUAAUAUUCCUGAACCUGUUAUAUUCAGUGAUGGAGUGACGCAGUGGUGAGAUGGAGACACCGACUGGAAGUGGUGUUGAACAUAUGUAGAAAGUUUGGUAGGCAAAUCCGCCAGACAAUAUUUCGAGGUAUGGGACCAGAGCCCUAGGCUCAAAAGUCCAUUCAUAUACACUGCCAAGAAAUAACUUCUAAGCGUUAUAAAGAUAUAGCAGAUCGUACCGCAAACCGACACAGGUAGGAAAGGAGAGUAUCCUAAGGUGUUCGAGAGAAUUCUGGUUAAGGAACUAGGCAAAUUAGCCCCGUAACUUCGGGAGAAGGGGCGCC
rnacentral:rRNA from 1 species